CUCCUACGGGAGGCAGCAGUGGGGAAUAUUGCACAAUGGGCGAAAGCCUGAUGCAGCAACGCCGCGUGAGCGAUGAAGGCCCUUGGGUCGUAAAGCUCUGUCCUAUGGGAAGAAAAAAAUGACGGUACCAUUGGAGGAAGCCCCGGCUAACUACGUGCCAGCAGCCGCGGUAAUA
rnacentral:rRNA from 1 species